GAUGAAGAACGUAGCGAAAUGCGAUAAGUAGUGUGAAUUGCAGAAUUCAGUGAAUCAUCGAAUCUUUGAACGCACAUUGCGCCCCUUGGUAUCCCGAGGGGCAUGCCUGUUCGAGCGUCAUUUCACCACUCAGGCCUGGCUUGGUGUUGGGCGACGUCCCCUUUGGGGACGCGCCUCGAAACGCUCGGCGGCGUGGCACCGGCUUUAAGCGUAGCAGAAUCUUUCGCUUUGGAAGUCGGGGCCCCGUCUGCCGGAAGACCUACUCGCAAGGUUGACCUCGGAUCAGGCAGGGAUACCCGCUGAACUUAAGCAUAUCAAUAAGCGGAGGA
rnacentral:misc_RNA from 1 species